GGGCUACACACGUGCUACAAUGGGCAGUACAAAGGGUAGCAAGCCUGCGAAGGUGAGCCAAUCUCAAAAAGCUGUUCGUAGUUCGGAUUGGAGUCUGCAACUCGACUCCAUGAAGCUGGAAUCGCUAGUAAUCGCGGAUCAGCAUGCCGCGGUCGAAUACGUUCCCGGGCCUU
rnacentral:rRNA from 1 species